UUGACUUGCAAAUGAUAAUCGAUAUUAUUAGCAACAGCUGAUCGCGAGAUCGGCGGGUAACCUUGAGAGACCUUCAGUCGGCCUCUUCAGAUUAUCUCCUCAUCAGGCUAAUCACGGUUUUGACCCGGCUCUUGCCGGGUCUUUUUUUG
rnacentral:sRNA from 1 species